CCCAUAGGCUCACGUAAUUGAAUGGGUAGUCACGAGGAUGAGAUACUAUGUAAGAGUAUUACAAGGAUUAAGAGGUGUGGCCUUGCUGGAGUUUAUUUCAAAAGCCCAGGCCAAACCCAGAGUCUCUCUCUGCGUACAAUCAGGAUGUGCUUCUCUACGUACUGUUCUAGUGCCUGCCUGAAUGUUGCCAUGAUGAUAAUGGACUGUGAAGGUGUGUAUGUGCUCAGCCCAGGGAAUGGCACUAUUGGGAGGUGUGGCCUUGUUGGAGUAGGUGUGUCACUGUGGGUGUGGGCUUUAAGACCCUCAUCCUAGCUGACUGGAAGUCAGUCUUCCACUAGCAGCCUUCAGGUGAAGAUGUAGAACACUCAGCUCCUCCUGCACCAUGCCUGCCUGGAUCCUGCCAUGUUCCUGCUUUGAUGAUAAUGGACUGAACCUCUGAAUCUUGCCUCAGUCCCAGCGUCUCUUCUCUGCAGUAGAACAGUGACUACAGUCCCAAGACCCUCCCACUGAGCUAUGGCUCCACCAGCUUUCCUCAAAGACCCAGGAAAAGAGAAGAGUGGAAGAAAGACUUAAGAUCUCCACCACAUCGAAGCAAAACCAGUAUAUUCGGAGUAUAACACUUAUGAGAGUUAAAAUGUGUGCUUGGGCUCCCACAGCCCCAGCCCUUCACAGGUGGGAGCAGGUAUGAGUUGGCUGCAUUCAGGUAAGCGAACGGCAGUGAAGAAAUCAGACUAUCUCUACGCAGGCUGAGUCUAGUCCCAGGCUCCUCCUUCUGCCCCUUUCUAUCACCAGCUCUUCAGAAAAAACAGGAUUCCUUCCUGACGGAGGGAUGGAGUGGAGUCCAGUUCUGUUGGCUCAGGUGUGACCUCACAAUCUUGGCUGACUUCAGAGUGAAGAUGAGAGUCACACCCACCUCUCCCAGAGGAGAGUCUCCAAUGAGAGUCACACCCACCUCUCCCAGGUGAGAGUCUCCAACAGGUCCUUUGGUCUCAGGAUUCACAAUAACUACUUUCACUCCAGGUAAGAUCUGAGAAUCAAAGAGGAAAUACAAAUACUCAGUUUAACCAAACUGCAUAACUUUGGCUGUGGCUUAGUUUACUGGUCUGAGGCAUGGCUUCCAACCCCAAACCCUGCAAUCAACCAAUGACCUCUAGGAACUGGACUAGAAAUGGCAGGAGCUGAUGAAGCAGUCAUCUCGCAAAGGGUCCUAAGGUGUUUUUCUGUUUGUUCCUGGUCAACCUUCCUCAUCGUAGUAGAGAUGGAGGACCAAUGAAUUCCACUCUGAAGCUAGAACACUGACCUAGACUGCCAUCUCUUCAGAGGGAUGAGAAACUUUUGCUCAAGGCCACAACUGCAAGACUUUGGUAAAUAACUCAGCCAUUCCCUUUUGGGUAAGUCUUUCCAAAGAUGAGCAGCAGGAGGAGACACCUGGAGACCACUCCACAGGGAGCUCGGCUGCAGUGGGUAAUGCAUUUAGUGCGAACACAGAAACACAUCCCUGAGAGAGAUGGCACAUCUCCAGGAUCUUCCAGAAGGGAAAAGAAACCUAUGUGCUGUCUGGGCCCACGGAUCAGGGCUCACCAAACAUGUUUCCUGGGUCAGCAGUGUAGUUCAGCAGUAAGCCACUUGCCUAGUGUAUCGGUUUAAAUAUCUAAACCUAGAGGAAGUAAAUAAAGGGCAGCGAUGGCCUCCCUCAUGACCUGA